AGAGUUUGAUCAUGGCUCAGGAUGAACGCUAGCGGCAGGCCUAACACAUGCAAGUCGAGGGGCAGCACGUCUUCGGAUGGUGGUGACCGGCGCACGGGUGCGUAACGCGUAUGCAACCUACCUCUUACAGUGGGAUAGCCCAGAGAAAUUUGGAUUAAUACCGCAUAGGAUACUGGACCAGCAUUGGUCCUGUAUUAAACAUUCAUGGGUAAGAGAUGGGCAUGCGUUCUAUUAGUUAGUUGGAGUGGUAACGGCACCCCAAGACAGCGAUAGAUAGGGGCCCUGAGAGGGGGAUCCCCCACACUGGUACUGAGACACGGACCAGACUCCUACGGGAGGCAGCAGUGAGGAAUAUUGGACAAUGGGCGAGAGCCUGAUCCAGCCAUGCCGCGUGCAGGAAGACGGCCCUAUGGGUUGUAAACUGCUUUUGUACGGGAAGAAACACCCCCUCGUGAGGGGGCUUGACGGUACCGUAAGAAUAAGGAUCGGCUAACUCCGUGCCAGCAGCCGCGGUAAUACGGAGGAUCCAAGCGUUAUCCGGAAUCAUUGGGUUUAAAGGGUCCGUAGGUGGGCCGUUAAGUCAGAGGUGAAAUCCUGCAGCUCAACUGUAGAAUUGCCUUUGAUACUGGCGGUCUUGAAUUAUUGUGAAGUGGUUAGAAUAUGUGGUGUAGCGGUGAAAUGCAUAGAUAUCACAUAGAAUACCGAUUGCGAAGGCAGAUCACUAACAAUGCAUUGACACUGAUGGACGAAAGCGUGGGGAGCGAACAGGAUUAGAUACCCUGGUAGUCCACGCCGUAAACGAUGGAUACUAGCUGUCCGGACUUCGGUCUGGGUGGCUAAGCGAAAGUGAUAAGUUCCCCCCUGG
rnacentral:rRNA from 1 species